AUGCAAGUCGAGCGGAAACGAUCCUAGCUUGCUAGGAGGCGUCGAGCGGCGGACGGGUGAGUAAUGCAUAGGAAUCUGCCCGGUAGUGGGGGAUAACCUGGGGAAACUCAGGCUAAUACCGCAUACGCCCUACGGGGGAAAGCAGGGGAUCUUCGGACCUUGCGCUAUUGGAUGAGCCUAUGUCGGAUUAGCUAGUUGGUGAGGUAAUGGCUCACCAAGGCCGCGAUCCGUAGCUGGUCUGAGAGGAUGAUCAGCCACAUCGGGACUGAGACACGGCCCGAACUCCUACGGGAGGCAGCAGUGGGGAAUAUUGGACAAUGGGCGAAAGCCUGAUCCAGCCAUGCCGCGUGUGUGAAGAAGGCUUUCGGGUUGUAAAGCACUUUCAGUGAGGAAGAACGCCUUCGGGUUAAUACCCCGGAGGGAAGACAUCACUCACAGAAGAAGCACCGGCUAACUCCGUGCCAGCAGCCGCGGUAAUACGGAGGGUGCGAGCGUUAAUCGGAAUUACUGGGCGUAAAGCGCGCGUAGGUGGCUUGAUAAGCCGGUUGUGAAAGCCCCGGGCUCAACCUGGGAACGGCAUCCGGAACUGUCAGGCUAGAGUGCAGGAGAGGAAGGUAGAAUUCCCGGUGUAGCGGUGAAAUGCGUAGAGAUCGGGAGGAAUACCAGUGGCGAAGGCGGCCUUCUGGACUGACACUGACACUGAGGUGCGAAAGCGUGGGUAGCAAACAGGAUUAGAUACCCUGGUAGUCCACGCCGUAAACGAUGUCGACUAGCCGUUGGGGUCCUUGAGACCUUUGUGGCGCAGUUAACGCGAUAAGUCGACCGCCUGGGGAGUACGGCCGCAAGGUUAAAACUCAAAUGAAUUGACGGGGGCCCGCACAAGCGGUGGAGCAUGUGGUUUAAUUCGAUGCAACGCGAAGAACCUUACCUACCCUUGACAUCGAGCGAACUUUCCAGAGAUGGAUUGGUGCCUUCGGGAACGCUCAGACAGGUGCUGCAUGGCUGUCGUCAGCUCGUGUUGUGAAAUGUUGGGUUAAGUCCCGUAACGAGCGCAACCCUUGUCCCUAUUUGCCAGCGAUUCGGUCGGGAACUCUAGGGAAACUGCCCG
rnacentral:rRNA from 1 species